rnacentral:misc_RNA from 1 species
UCACCGCUUGCGCGGGCAGUCUCAUUAGAGUCCUCAGCAUUACCUGCUAGCAACUAAUGAUAGGGGUUGCGCUCGUUACGGGACUUAACCCAACACCUCACGGCACGAGCUGACGACAGCCAUGCAGCACCUAGUUUCGUGUCCUUGCGGAAAGGUUCCUUUCAGAACCGGUCACUAACUUUCAAGCCCAGGUAAGGUUCCUCGCGUAUCAUCGAAUUAAACCACAUGCUCCUCCGCUUGUGCGGGCCCCCGUCAAUUCCUUUGAGUUUCAAUCUUGCGACCGUACUCCCCAGGUGGAAUACUUAACGCUUUCGCUUAGACGCGUACUAUAUAUCGCACACAUCGAGUAUUCAUCGUUUAGGGCGUGGACUAC